rnacentral:rRNA from 1 species
CAAUGCCGCGUGUGUGAAGAAGGCCUGCGGGUUGUAAAGCACUUUCAGUUGGGAGGAAAAGCAGUGGGCUAAUACCCCGCUGUCUUGACGUAACCAACAGAAGAAGCACCGGCUAACUCUGUGCCAGCAGCCGCGGUAAUACAGAGGGUGCAAGCGUUAAUCGGAAUUACUGGGCGUAAAGCGCGCGUAGGCGGUUUUGUAAGUCGGAUGUGAAAGCCCCGGGCUUAACCUGGGAAUUGCAUUCGAUACUGCUUGACUGGAGUGUGGUAGAGGGAAGCGGAAUUCCGGGUGUAGCGGUGAAAUGCGUAGAGAUCCGGAGGAACAUCAGUGGCGAAGGCGGCUUCCUGGACCAACACUGACGCUGAGGUGCGAAAGCGUGGGAGCAAACAGGAUUAGAUACCCUGGUAGUCCACGCCGUAAACGAUGAGAACUAGACGGUUGGGGUUUUAUACCCUUAGUGUCGCAGCUAACGCGAUAAGUUCUCCGCCGUGGGGAGUACGGCCGCAAAGGUUA